rnacentral:rRNA from 1 species
GAUGAACGCUAGCGGCAGGCCUAAUACAUGCAAGUCGAACGGUGUCCUCGGACAUAGUGGCGCACGGGUGCGUAACACGUAUGCAACCUACCUUACAUUGGGGGAUAGCCUUUCGAAAGGGAGAUUAAUACCGCAUAAGACAGUAGCCGGGCAUCCAGCAGCUGUUAAAGAUUUAUCGAUGUAAGCUGGGCAUGCGUCCAAUUAGCUAGUUGGUGAGGUAACGGCUCACCAAGGCAAUGAUUGGUAGGGGAACUGAGAGGUCAAUCCCCCACACUGGCACUGAGAUACGGGCCAGACUCCUACGGGAGGCAGCAGUAGGGAAUAUUGGGCAAUGGACGCAAGUCUGACCCAGCCAUGCCGCGUGCAGGAUGAAGGCGUUAUGCGUUGUAAACUGCUUUUAUACAGGAAGAAACGACUCUUGCGAGAGGCAUUGACGGUACUGAAUGAAUAAGCACCGGCUAACUCCGUGCCAGCCGCCGCAGUAAUAC